rnacentral:ncRNA from 1 species
AGUGGAAAGAUUUGGCCGCUUGCAAACCACGUAAAAAAAUAGCUAAAGAAGCAA